CCGUUCAAUCCUAAAGACCGAGGCAGGCCGGAUGCCUGGGCCAGAGCCAGAGACCAGACGCUUCCAAAAGUUCCAGCCAGUCCUGCUACCAACACCAGUCGGGACCGUUUGAAAGAAAGAAGUGUUCGGUUGGGAGAGUGGACGGGAAGCUAAGCAUUUCAUGGCCAUGACCACAGAGAGCCCCAGGGAAACACAGCAGACACGACUAAGGAGGAAGAGGACAGUGGCAAUUAGAAGGUAGCUUCAAUGCAAUGGAAAGUUCAAUCUUUACUCUCUGGAGAGACUCCCCUACAGACAUCAAAAUAAAAAAGCGUUCCAGGUAACAGAGCUAUGGUAGCCACCUCUGAACUACUUUGGAAACCCUAAAAUUCAAUCAUUUUUGUGGUGAUGAUUGUACAUCUCCUCUCGAUGUGAUGGAACUAUUAAAUUGUAUGAUAUGUGAAUUAUAUGCCAAUAAAACUGUUGGGGAAAAAUUCAAUCAUUUGAAUCGA